UGCGCAGACUACUUUGGCAUUCGAGAAACGAGGUAAAAGUACUUCUGCCUCGCUCGGGUGAAUUGCGAAGGGGACCGUUUCAAAGCACCCAUAGGAACUUUCAACAUCUUGCAAUGUCUUUUUAUUUUUUAAAUUUUUUAUGUCAAGAUAUCGCCCCAGAGCCGCCAAAGACGACAUUCGACGGUGUUUGGGCUACGUUCAUGUUUACAUGACUGGAUUUGACAGCGUGGUGGUAUCGCCCCCACCACCCCUGCUGACACGGACACGGCGUCGCUGUUGUUGGCGGAGACUCGGAAGAGGGGUUUACACACCCCGAGAGCUUCUUAGGGGGGCCUCUCAACGCUAAGCCGCUAAUAAUUCCCGCGCUCGCCCAGACAAAAGGUUGGACAAAGUGAUGAAUGCCAAGCUAUGAUAAUGCUAAUGCUAAUGCUGCGGACUGGUUUCACGCUGAUGGUGACGGUGGUCAACAGCACAAGGCAACAUCGUGUAGAGGAUAACGUAGCAUGACAGCCACCAUUCACUAAUUCAUGAUGUUUACCUUUGUCGUCGACACAAGUGAGGAUUUUGAAGAUUUUGGGAGUAAAAGGAGAACGUCUGGACACCUGACCUUCAAUCUGUGUUUCAAGGCAGAAUUUAGGUUUUAAAUCAGGGUUUUGAGAUCCGGUUAGUGUUCCAAAUUUGAGAUUAAAGACCACAUUGUGGUUACAAACUAGGGAUUAAAACCGGGAUUAGGUUUUCAAACAAGGACUACGGUUUCAAAUCAGGAUUAAGGUUUUAAAUUAAGAUUUCAAGCCUGGGUUAAGGAUUCAAGACCGAGUUAGUGUUUAAAAUUAAGGCUCCAAAUUAGGGUUUGAACGCGGGGUUAAGGUUUCAAAUUAAGGUUUGAAUCCUAGUUUAAGGUUUUAAAUUUCUGGCCUGGAUUAAGGUUUAAAAUCAGGGUUUCAAGGCCAGGUUUGGCUUUCAAAUUGAGGUUAGACUUUCAAAUUACAGUUUCAAGACAGGGUUAGGGUUUCAAAUUAGGCUUUCAAGUUUUGCUUUGGAUUUUUCACAUGGUUUAAUUUCGGAACAUUUUGAAAAGGUUAAUGAAAUUUGGCCCAAAAAAAGUUCAGGGAAUCUGGUCACCUCACCUUCAUUAGUUUUUUUGACAUCACAAGUAUAUAUAGAUAUACAUAUAGAAAAAGGGUCAUAAAAAAAUGAUUCGUAAGGUGGGAACAUAUUUGAUAUAUUUGUCACAAACACUUUCUUGCCACACGUUUGAUUUGUCUGGUGCUUUUAAAACAUCUCUAAAUUGCCAAAAGAUUAUUAUUAAAUAUGUUGAGGAUGCUCAAAUCUGUUUUUGAAAGUAAAAUGUCCCGAAGGGAGUGUGUGUGUGUGUGUGUGUGUGUGUGUGUGUGAAAGGUGUGAUGUGUGCAAGGUGGCGUCCGUACAGAAGGUGCAGAGGUGGAUAAAUUUAAUUACGGCUUCAGAUAUUCAUUUGGCAAAUAUAUCAAGGUGGCAGAGACGGGCCCAGAAAAAGGCGAGCGGGCCUGGCAGCCGCUCACAAUGCUGACGGUAAUCCAUGAAAGCAAAGCAGACAUUUAGAGAAUUUACAGCGAGUGUGUGUGAUGUUUGGGAGAAAAAAAUAAGUGGAAAAAUACAGCAAUUGCCACCUUGUGUUUGACUCGCAUCGCAGCACCGGCGCGCUGACGAGGUUAAUUAUCACACUUUGUCAAGUGAACAAACACAAGCAAGAGCGCACACGUCCUUCCUCUGGCGUCCGAUCGCAGAAAGGGGAGGGCGUCGUCGCUAUCUGAUGUCGCUAACUUACUCAACUAACUCACUAAUUACCCAACUCACUCACUGUAACCAACUCAAUCAACUAACUUACUCACUUCAUCCUUAACCCAAUCAACUAACUUACUAACUUAAUGCCUAAGUCACAUAACUGACUCACUCAACUGAUUUAUUGAUAUGGCUCACUGUAAUUUACAAACUCAACUUUAUGCCAAACCCACCUAACUAACCUAACUCAUUCAACUAACUAAUUCAAGUAACUCACAAACGCCAUGAUGAUCUCACUCAAUUAACUCAAUUAACUCCACGUCUCACUCAUUCAACUAACUAAUGAACUUCAUGCCCAACUCUUUCAACUAACUCAAACUUCAUGACGAACUCAAUUAACUCAAUAACAUCAUGCUAAACUCAUCCAACUAACUAAUUAACUUCAUGCCAAACUCACUCAAUUAGCUCACUAACUGAAUGACUAACUCACUCAACUAACUCACGAGCUUAAUGCCUGACGCCAGUCAAUUAACUGACGAAUUUCGGAAUUCUUUUGGUAUUGUUAUUGCAACUAACUCACUCACGCACUCACUCAUUUCAUGCCUUACUUGCUUACUAAUUACCCGACAACCUCAAACGACUUGGUUUUGCUCUCAAUAACAUGCUCAAUAGGUACCCAAUUCACCCAACUGACUUUUAACGUUGCUCAGUUUAACAAAAUUGUUGGUGCUCCUCUCUUUAACUUACACACUCAACUAAUUCACUAACUUCAUGCCCAACUCACUCAAAGUAACUCACUAACAUCAUGCAUAACCCACUAAACUAACUCACAAAUUACCUAACUCACUCAACUCACUCAACUGUUGCUCUUUAUAACUAACUCAAUACAUUCAAAAUAUUAAAAGAAAAAAAAGUUUUUUGAAUCGUGUAUUUUCCCCUACUGCGGGUGGGUGUGGAACGUAACCCCACAAUAAACAGAGCGCAGUAUGUGCGUUGUGUACAGUAAGUUUGUGUGUCAACUUGAAUUGUUAUCUCACGUGCCCGUUUUGACAUUUGUCACGCACUGGCGGCGACAGGAAGUGUGACAGGAGCUGGAGCGCCUCGCCACUUUGCAGAUGUGCAGCGACACAGGUGGAGGUGCGCCUACCCCGCGGGGCACUUCCGCUUCCUGUGGUGCAGGCGAGCGCGGGCGGCCUACUUUAUCAAGGGUUCGAUGUAAUCAGCAGCAGAGCCGAUGAAGUGGAUCGCAAACCGCACUGACGCUCGCCUUUCUGGCUUCCGCCUGCAGGGGGCGAGCCUGAGCAGGAAACGCCCCUCAGGUGCCGCUUUUAGGGACGAAAAAGCCAACUACUGACAACAAUGACCUACAUGGACUAACCGCAACAACUGUUUCUUUCCACCACACGUAAAUAAGACAGCCAGUGUUCUCUCACAUUGACACAUUUAAAUGGAAAGUACACACGCCUGUUGUAUUGUUACAACCAACUAACUUUGCAUUCCAAGAAAAUGCAUUCAACUGAAAAAAAUGCCCUCCACUUCACUUUAAAUAAAUACAACAUAAGAUUGUUCCGUUCCUCCGAUUUCUUCUGGUCACGCUUCCCUAAUUUAAAGGUAUCAGUUUAUUCCCCAACAUCUGUCUUAUUAUCCUUUGAAACUCAUCCAAAAUUCUAUAUCAAAGAGCCUGGAAAAGCUCUUUGAAAAUACCAUAAACUCACAUAUUCACUCAGCUAACUCCCUAACUCACUCACCAAUUGAACCACAUAACUCAAUAAUAAUAAUGCACCCAACUAACUCUGAAACUAUUUCACUGAGUAAACUCGCUAGCUCACUCAGUUAAAUUGAGAAUGAAUUCCCUAACUCACUCAACUAACUCAGUGACCAACAUUGCACCGAACUGGUUCACACACUGCCUACCUCGCUCAACUAGUAAACUCAUGAACUCCAACAUGUAAUUAACUACCAACUAUAUAGAAUUAACUUUGCAACUCAAUCAGCUAACUAUCUGACUCAAGUAACUCCUUACUCAUUCAACACACUUUCUACCUAACUCAAGAGUUAACUCCCCAACCCACUCUACUAAUUCACUCAACUAACUCCCUAUCUCAAGUCACUCACCUAACUACUGUAAAUCACUAAACCCUGUACUCACUCAGCUACCUCCCUAUCACGCGUAACAAACUUAUUCAUUAACUCCAACUCACUCAACUAACUAAAACACUAACUCCCUAACUCGCAAACUAACUUAACUUUCCCAGCUAACUAAAUCGCUAAUGCUCUAACUCCUGAACUAACUCCCCCAGUCACUCAACUUAAUCCCUGACUAACUCCCUAAACAAAUGAAUUCAUUAACUCCAUACUUAAUACGCUCUCUAACUCACACAGUUAACUCAAGAAUUAACUCCCUAACUCACGCAACACAAUCUCUCGCUAAUAAAUCAAGAACUAACUCUCUAAUUUGCUCAACUAGCUCCUGAUCUCAAAAGUCACUCACCCAACUAAAUCGCUGACUAAUCAAACGCUUUAAUAACUUCCUAACUCACUCAACUAACUAAAUCACUAACUCCCUCACUAUCUCACUCAACAAACUCCCAAACUCUCUAACUAAAGCACGCACUCAUAUGUGUCCACGCAAAGAUGUUUCAGAAUAACUAAACUUUGCGAAGUCCGAGUGGACCUUGGCCUGUCGUCGUGGCGACAAUGAUGGGGUGCGAAGGAGCGAUGAUGAUGAAGGAGGAGGAUGAGGAAAAAAAAUGCUUGAUCUGCGCCACGGGGCAUUUAUUCUGCCAGCCGAGCAAGGCGAAAGCAGAAAAAAAAUCAGAGCGCAGCCAGCGGAGUGGAGGCGGCGAGGACGGACGAGGGAGGACGUCUUUGUUCCUCGUGUGCAUGUGUCUGUGUAUGUGACAAUUUCAAAUCUACGGCCACCCCAAGACGGAAUCUGUUAGAACUGAAAGACGGGAGAAGAAAAAUUCCAGAACAUGAUCCAGAAUUUCCUGAAAAUACUGCAAUGUUUCCGUGUGUGUGUGUAUUUACAAUCUAUGGCCCGACGGAAGCCGUUAGAACCGAAGAGAUGGGACAUCAAUGAUAACAUUCUCCUGUCUCUCCGGUUCCAAUACCAGGCCCGGAAUUCUGCAAAGUACGAGACAAUUCCCUAUGUGUGUAGUUGACUUUUUAAAAUUUAUGGCACUCCCAAGACGGAUGACGUUAGAACCGCAGAGAAGGGAGAGCCUCCAUCUCUCGUUUCUAUGAUUCAAAUUGCUAUCCGAAACAAGGCCCAGAAUUCCAGAAAGUAAGUGCGUGUUUGUGUGACCGUUUCAAAUCUACGGCCCUCCCAAGAUGGGAGCCUCUAGAACCGGAGUGACCUCAGGUUCUUCUCCCGUCUCUCCAGUUCUCAUUCCCAGCCGGAACAAGGCCCAGGAGUCUGGAGAGUACCAGAAUGUUUCGUUGUGUCUGUUUGUGUAACUGUUUGAAAUCCAUGGCUCUCACAAAAUGGAAGCCAUUAGAACCGACGAGAAGAGGAGAAGAAUCUGUGAGGUGCUUUUCCCAGCUCUCCAGUUCUAAAUUACUGGCUGGAACAAGGCCAGGAAUUUUGGAAUGUACUAGAACGUUUUCUUGUGUGUGACUUUGAGGAUAUUCAAAAUCUAUGGCACUUUCAAGACAGAAGCUUUGAGGGACUUAGUGAUCUCAUCCGUGAGGUUCUUCUCCCAUCUCGCCAUCUUGAAUCCUGACCAGAACGAGGCCCAGAGUUCCAGAAAGCACUGGAAAGUUUGUGUGUGUGUGUGUGUUUUUGUGAGUAUUUAAAAUCUAUGACCAUCCCAAGACCGAUGGGACAUUGGUGAGGUCCUCUAAAGUUUUCUCUGGAGUGUUCCGCGGUGAGUGUGCGUGCACUACGCUAAGCGUAAUUACACGUGACACCAAUUGCUCUGUUACUUUGUAUUAAAUUAUAAUGGGAAAAAACUCUGCAGGAGAAUUGGAGCCUAAUUGCGUCUUCAUUUGAAUAAUUUUGCAUAUUAAUCACAUUGCCGAUGAAUAAUAAAUUUGGGGCAGAUUUUAUUUAUUUAUUUUGUAAUUUAUGCACAGAUAAAGAAAUAUUUAAAAAAAUAAAUGACUUGCUCAUUUCUCUCAUUAGCGUCAAAGAUGAGUGACGUC